UAGUAGGCUCACCUAGCAUUCAUGUAAC
rnacentral:piRNA from 1 species